GUCCCGCAAACGUGCGGACUUUGCCUGCUUUCGCACGAAGGCAGAGCAGCUGUGACACGGAUUCGUGGGGCCUAGGAGCUGAGCUGAGCUCCCACCUGACCCUGGGUCCCGGCCCUUGCGGCUGUGGGGCAGUGCGCGUGCACAGAGGCUGCGUUUGUACAGGCGCGCGCUCGUGUAAGGACGCGUGUGAAACCACCGUUGGGACCGCGUGUGCAGGCUCCGUUCUUCUCCCCACCCUCAGACCGUCCUCUGACCCCGGCGGGCUCCUCCGCUCAGCCUGAUUCCGACCCAGGGGCCGGGACGACUCUGACGCCCGCGGUUAGGAGCCCAGUGCCCGGGCCCGCGCCCACCCCGACCUGACAACAGCACCCAGUGCACCCGUCGGAGGUUCCCGUGACCCGCCUCUCCGGGUUCGACCAACACGCGAAGAGCGGUGCACGCGGUUCGGAUAAACGUCCACUCACUAGGUCGCCAGCCGUCCUAAAACGGCCGGACGGAGUCCGCGGGACUGGGCUCCCGGCUUCGGCCGUGGCGGAGCCUCCGCGUGUUCGCCAGCCUGGAGGGCCCGGACAGAGGCUUCCUUACGAAUUCCAACGGUUUGGGGAGCUCAGCGCCAGGAAGGGGCAAAGGACAAGGACCUACUUCUUACUGCAAAGCGCGGUAUUGCAGCCUGUUUGGUGCAAAUCCAGGGUUUGUGGUUGCGCUGGCCUGACCGGAUGAAUGAACGAGUUCCCGGGGCUAGAUACUAAGAGGGAAUGUGUGAGGGACUAAUUCUUGGAUUUCCGAUUGUGUGACAAAGCAGUGGUGAUAUGAAAAUAGCAGUUACCAGAGAUGAUUAUUAGGACUUUUACUACCACCCCUGCUGCUAGCACCUAACACAUCACAGUCCCUGGUCAAAAGUGUCUUUUCCACCUAAGGUGCAUAAAUGGAGGCACAAGGAGAUUAGGAAAGUACUCACCCAAAGGAGCAGGGCUAGCAAAGGUCAGAGCUGAUUUCCGAAUCCAGGCCCUGGGGACUUCAAAACCCCUGUCCUGUUCACCCCUUCAGGGGUUUUUCCUUGGAGGAAGCUGCUUCUUGAACAGGAAGAUUCUUCUGCACACCUGGUGGUGCUGGAACAAAGGGGAUGGCCAAGAAAAUCAAGAAAACCUGCAAUCUGGCAGUUCUGUGUUUUCCUUAGAUCACCUCCCAAGAAACUAUAGAAGAAAGCGUUCUGGAGGAUUGAAAGGAAAGAAAGGAUGUCUCUUUCUCUGAUAGAAGAGAGUCCUACAGAUAUGCCGUCACAUGUAGCAUCUGCUUCUUGUCUGAGAGGACUUGCUGCCCUCUAGCCCAAGAGAAGGCCCGUAUAGUCUCUCAUGCCAGCUCUUCCCAGGCACAGACUCACGGAGCCUUUGAGGCAAGGAUAACAGCUGCCUAUUUUGAGACGUUUUGUUGUGUGAUAAAAACAAACUCACUAGGGGCAUCUGGGUGGCUCAGUUAAAGCCUCUGCCUUUGGCUCAGGCAAGGUCCUGGAAUCAGCCCCGCACUAGGUUCUCUGCUCAGCGGGGAGCCUGCUUCCUCCUCACUCUCUGCCUGCCUCUCUGCCUACUUGUGAUCUCUGUCAAAUACAUAAAUAAAAUCGUCAAAAAAAAAAACCACAAAAAACUCACUCGUUUUAGAGUAUCAGUCAGGUGUCCACCACGUGUCGCCAUUGAAAUCUGCAGUCACACACUUGGUUUCUUUACACCUGUCCUGGGCAGAUCAGCAGGAGAAAUUACUGCUUGCCCAAAACAUUCUUAAGCAAACACAUCUGGGCCACUGCGCUAAUGAGUACCAUAGCGUUCACUAUUUCCACGUUCCAUCCUCCCACAGCCCCCCCGUCACACAGUCAUGUGUGUCAAAACUGUUGUCUCUCCUCUACUUUACGACGACUGUCGUUUUCCUCUAAUCUCCUCAGUGUAUAGUGCCACCGUGCAGGUGGGGCAAAUGGCAGAGUCGGCUUUAAAUCCGAACACGUCAGCACCUAUACUGCACGUACAGUGAGUGAGUGUUUCAGCCAGAAGGCAGACACCAACAACCUGGGCACACCAAAAAAUCCCAUGCUGUUCGAAGAAAACAACUCAUAUUUAAGGAUAUUUAAGGGCACAAACAAGUUAAUCAUUUUUUAAAAAGUGGGGAAAAUUGAUACUAUGUUACUUAAUCUGCAAAGACUGGGCUGCUGGAACUAAACUAGAUACCUCAUGAACUGCAGGAAUUUAUUUCUCAUGGUCUGGAGCCAGACAGGAGGCUGUCGGUGUUUCUGACCGGCAGACACAGGCACACUCUUGGAAAUCAUUGCAUUUUGUUGAAUGUCCUAUAUAAAAGGUGCUCUUACCUACACCUUUCUGCCAGCCUAGUAUAUUCUGUAUGAUUGUGCAACUAGGCAGACAGACAGAACUUCCUGUCCUCUGAUGACCGACCGAUGACUGAGGAUCAGGCUCCUCUGUUUCCCACAGACCUAUAUUUUACUUCUCCGAUCACUACUGGAAAUUUACACGGUUGAUUGUGACAUCAUAUGCAUGUGUGUUUGUGAGUGUUAUAAUAUAAAACUGUAUACAGCUAAAUAAAGCUUGAACAAUGAACACAUUUAUAUAUAAAAUGUAUAUAUAAAGAAAACAUGUUUAUGUAUAAAAUUUAUAUGCAAAACCUGUAUUUAUGUAAAAUAUAUUUUAAAAACUAUAAACAUAAACUACAUAAACAUUAAAACUCUAAAUAAAUAGGGGCUCCUGGCUGGCUCAGUCCAUGCAGCAUGCGACUCUUGACUUUGGGGUUGUGAGUUUGAGCCCCAUGUUGGGUACAGAGAUCACUUAAAAAAAAUCUUGGGGUGCCUGGGUAGCUCAGUGGGUUAAAGCCUCUGAUUUUGGCUUGGGUCAUGAUCCCAAGGUCCUGGGAUUGAGCCGCACAUUGGGCUCUCUGCUCAGCAGGGAGCCUGCUUCCUCCUCUCUCUAGGCCUGCCUCUGCCUACUUGUGAUCUCUGUCUGUCAAAUAAAUAAAUAAAAUCUUUUAAAAAAAUAAAAAUUUAAAAAAAAAGAAAAAAUAAU